GGCCUGUUGGUGUAGUGGUAGCACAUCUGCUUUACAUUGCAUGAUGAACUGGUAUCAGUGGGAGAUCCUUGUUCGACUCGAGGUCAGGCCA